GCGCGCCCACUUUCUCUCUCUCUCUCUCUCUCUCAAAAAUAAAUAAGCAUUAAAAAUUUUUUUAAAAAGGGCAGGGGGACCGUGGCCGCAGACCCCUGCUGCACUGGCACCCCGCUGCUGGGCUCUAGAGGCCGACUGACAGCGAGGCUCCCGUGCCCCUGUGCCCCAGGAGGGGUCGGUGUCUGCGCCCCCACACAGGCCGCCCAGAGCCUUGCUGGGCUUCCCUCACCAGGGCCAGGCCGAUGUGGGGCAGCCAGAGGAGCGUCCUGCCUUCAGACCUCGGGGCUCCCGCCGGCCGCGUUAAACGCGCCGCACGCACGCACGCACGCCCCGACGGCGCCUCGGGCUCCUGGCUCUGAGCCUGGGCCCCGUGCGUCCUCCUGUGAGGUCUCCCUGCGUGAGCCUCUGGGGGGCUCGAGGGAGCCUCUUGCAGGUCUAUGUUUUCGGUUCAGACACCUGCUUGGAGCCCUGAUGGGGAUGUGGGGCAGGCUGGGUGGCCUCUGUGGCCCCCAGGAUGUGGACCCGAGUCCAGGCGCCCCGGAACCCACCCCCUCACCUCCGAGUGGUGCUGCGUGCGCCCCCUCCUACACACAGACCCCUGUCUGUCCCGCCCUGACCCCCCUCAGCUCCCCUCCCCCAAGUCCUCCCAAGAGCCCAAGGAUGGGGCGAUUGAUGCUCAUCCCCGUUUUACAGGUGUGAGGAGGAAGGGAACAGACACGCACAAGGUGCAGGGCUCAAGAAGGCUUUGUGGUUUGCCCCCUCGGGUGGAUCCUGGCUGCAGGAUGGUGCAGAGACCCCACAAGAGAGAGAGAGAGGAGCGUGAGCAGAUGAGGCAGAGAGAGGAG